AUACGGGGGGUGCAAGCGUUGUUCGGAAUUACUGGGCGUAAAGCGCGCGUAGGCGGACUGAUCAGUUGGGGGUGAAAUCCCAGGGCUUAACCCUGGAACUGCCUCCAAUACUGUCAGUCUUGAGUUCGGGAGAGGCAAGUGGAAUUCCUAGUGUAGAGGUGAAAUUCGUAGAUAUUAGGAAGAACACCAGUGGCGAAGGCGGCUCACUGGCCCGAUACUGACGCUGAGGCGCGAAAGCGUGGGGAGCAAACAGGAUUAGAAACCCUAGUAGUCC
rnacentral:rRNA from 1 species